rnacentral:rRNA from 1 species
UACGGAGGGUGCAAGCGUUACUCGGAAUUACUGGGCGUACAGCGUGCGCCGGCGGUUUGUUGAGUCCGUUGUGAAAGCCCCGAGCUCAACUUGGGAAUUGCAGUGGAUACUGGCAGGCUGGAGUACGGUAGAGGAAGGUGGAAUUCCCGGUGUAGCAGUGAAAUGCGUAGAUAUCGGGAGGAACACCAGUGGCGAAGGCGGCCUUCUGGACCAGUACUGACGCUCAUGCACGAAAGCGUGGGGAGCAAACAGG